rnacentral:lncRNA from 1 species
AUACACACAUUUUUCUCUCAAGAGUUCUUGCCGCCAUUUUGGCAUUAGUCUUUCUUGAUGAGAAAGUCUAGUUUAGUUCCUCUACUUGCAGACUUUGAUAAUUCUUAACCAUCCCACCCCACAAAACAUUUACACCUAUUUUCUUUUUCUCAAGAAAAAGAGAAAAGAAAGAAAAGAAAAAGAAAGACCCCGAAAGGAAAGGGAAACUUCAUUCUCCAAGAACUUUUUGGGAUUAACCAUUUUAUUUUAUUCUAACAGAACCAAAACAAAACAAAACAACAGAUUUUGGCAUUUUUUGGAGGUGUACAUGUAAUAUUUUAACUUCUCGCUUAACAAAAAAAGAAAAGUUUUUUUCAUUUCGCAAAAGAAAUUGAAAAUAUUUUUUCCAUUCCUUUGAAAGGCGGCAUACAAGCAUCUCUCUUUUCUCGUACAAGUUGAUAUUAUUAAUCGUUAUUAUUUAUUAUUAAUAUUAUCAUUGUCCUUCCUCUUUGAUACGCAUACAUAUAUAUAUUUAAAUAUAUAUAUUUGAAUAUAUAUAUAUAUAUUUAAAUAUAUAUAUAUAUAUUUAAUAUAUAUAUAUUUAAAUAUAUAUCUAUGUGUAUAUAUAGAUAUAUAUAUCUAUAUAUCAUAUAGAUACAUACACAUUAAGCUUUGAUCUGGUUUGUUGUGGUUCUGAUAUUCUUACCAAAAGAAUUUAUAUAUUGC